GCACUGGAGAUGGGAAAUGAAGUGAACUCUAACCCUACACUUAUUGGGGAUCGAUGCUGCAGCGAUCAUUUCACCAUCAACUCCAGUACUCCACCGGAAUGAGAAGUGUAAGCUGUUUGUCCUUCUGGCCUUCUGCUGCUCACCUGUCAAGUGCCAGCUGUAACCAGGCCAAGAGUCCGGGGGAGAGAAGGAACCGGAUAAGCAGAAGGGCUCUGCUCAUCACUGCCUAGAAUAUUCCUUGCCUUUUUGGAAUUGAUCAGAUGUGGCAUUCAAAAGGUAUCGCAUGACAGACAGACAGAGAAAUGCCUUCAAGUUGAGUGGAGGUCCAUGCAAGCUUGGCCGAAAACAUAAAAUUAAACCAUCAGCUAAUCAAGUUGAUUGUGAAGUUGACAAGAGAUCAAAAAGUCUGCAGGAAGGAACACACACAGCAGGAGGGUGUCCUGUUUGUGACUAAGAUCAAAGAAUUAGUCUGGUAUAGCAGGAGAAUGCACGGAGACAUAUGUUAUCCUUCACUGAGGAGAGAACUGAGUGUGGCUUGUUUCAUGAAUAAAGGGAACACAGUUUACCUGGCUCAGAAAUGCU